GCCCUGAUGUGGGGGAUAACCAUUGGAAACGAUGGCUAAUACCGCAUGAUGCCUACGGGCCAAAGAGGGGGACCUUCGGGCCUCUCGCGUCAGGAUAUGCCCAGGUGGGAUUAGCUAGUUGGUGAGGUAAGGGCUCACCAAGGCGACGAUCCCUAGCUGGUCUGAGAGGAUGAUCAGCCACACUGGAACUGAGACACGGUCCAGACUCCUACGGGAGGCAGCAGUGGGGAAUAUUGCACAAUGGGCGCAAGCCUGAUGCAGCCAUGCCGCGUGUGUGAAGAAGGCCUUCGGGUUGUAAAGCACUUUCAGUUGUGAGGAAGGUGGUGUCGUUAAUAGCGGCAUCAUUUGACGUUAGCAACAGAAGAAGCACCGGCUAACUCCGUGCCA
rnacentral:rRNA from 1 species